rnacentral:rRNA from 1 species
AGGGAGAUGAGGGUUAUAUAUUUCUUUUACGGCGGGAGGACAAUGACAUUAACCGUGAGAAGAAGCUCCGGAUUAAACUUCGCGCUAGCAGCCGCGAUAAAACGGAGGAAGCUUAGGGAUUUUUAGGAAAUUACUGCGCGUCAUAGCCGAGCGUAGGCGUAUAUAAUAAGUCGGGAAGUGGAUUUCUUUUAUUCAACCAGGGAACUGCAGUAGAUACUGGGAAGCUAGAAUGUGGGAGACGGGAGUGGAAUUCCCGGGGUAGAGGUGAAAUUUAAAAAAUAUUGGGAAGAACACCGGUGGGGAAGGCGGCUACUGGACAAAUAGUGACGCUGAGGUGCGAAAGUUUUGUUAAUGCGGCCGGAUUAGAUCCCCUGUAGUCCCCCCUCGUAUUGACGUUAUUAGCUAGCUUUCCGGCUUCUUAGAUCCUUCGGUGGCGCAGCUAACGCAUUAAGUUUUCCCGCCCGGGGAGAACGGA